rnacentral:rRNA from 1 species
AUUGAACGCUGGCGGCAUGCCUUACACAUGCAAGUCGAACGGUAACAGGUCUUCGGAUGCUGACGAGUGGCGAACGGGUGAGUAAUACAUCGGAACGUGCCUAGUAGUGGGGGAUAACUACUCGAAAGAGUGGCUAAUACCGCAUGAGAUCUACGGAUGAAAGCAGGGGAUCGCAAGACCUUGUGCUACUAGAGCGGCCGAUGGCGGAUUAGGUAGUUGGUGGGAUAAAAGCUUGCCAAGCCGACGAUCUGUAGCUGGUCUGAGAGGAGGAUCAGCCACACUGGGACUGAGACACGGCCCAGACUCCUACGGGAGGCAGCAGUGGGGAAUUUUGGAUAAUGGGCGCAAGCCUGAUCCAGCAAUGCCGCGUGCAGGAUGAAGGCCUUCGGGUUGUAAACUGCUUUUGUACGGAACGAAAAGCCCCGGGUUAAUACCCUGGGGUCAUGACGGUACCGUAAGAAUAAGCACCGGCUAACUACGUGCCAGCCGCCGCCGUAA